rnacentral:rRNA from 1 species
UGGGUAACCUGCCUCAAAGAGGGGAAUAGCCUCCCGAAAGGGAGAUUAAUACCGCAUAAUAUGUUUAAGUCGCAUGACUUUAACAUCAAAGGAUUUUCUUUUAGAAAUUCCACUUUGAGAUGGACCCGCGGCGCAUUAGCUAGUUGGUGAGGUAACGGCUCACCAAGGCAACGAUGCGUACG